rnacentral:lncRNA from 1 species
UGACAACAAAAGUUAUUUAAAAAAAUUAAUAAAAAAAAUCCAAAUGCUUCUUGUUAAAUUGAUUACUCAAAUAUUGUUCAGUAACAUAUUUUCAAAGAUUUUGAUCAAACAAUCUUAAUCUGGACCCCUGAUAAUAGAAUAAUUGGCUCAACUGGAUACUGCUAAUAAAACACUGUUAAUUCAGAGUUGCCUCUGAAGGUGGUCUCUGGAACACCACACCACAGAUUGCAUCAAAGGAAAAAUGUACAUCAAAGCAGAUGUGGUACACCACUUGAUUAUAAAUAUAAGGAUGUCCAAAGUUUAUGUCAUUAGUCCAAGUUGCGAUAUUACUGAUACAGUUUAACUCUUCAAAAUGUUCACUAAAGGUUAUACCCCAUAUUCCAAAGGCAGGAAAAGGUCAAAGAAAGACAACUCUUCCAGAAAUCCUAGUUGGUUCCAAGCUGGCACAAAGGUUAAAAGUGAAGGCCUGACGUCAAAACAGAUGCCGGAUUCAGCUGGUGCAUGUACUUCCUAUGUGCGGCAAACUUUACAAUCUCCAGACUGCAAAGAGGCAACUGGUCACAUCUGUACUCUUCGACCACAAGCUACUGCUGACCUGGAAAGAGAAGAAAGUAAAAUAUUACAUUCUGGCAUGAGGUAUAUAGACAGUCAACUAACAAUUAGCUUGAUCAACACUAAUAUUAAUAAGCACCAAGUGGACUCACCAUCCUGUCCUCAGUUUAUUUCUGACUAUCAUGAACAGAAAAAGUGGGGAACUUGCUGGCAGUAUACCUUGAAAUGCAUAAAUUGUGGUUUUAUUGGAGACAGAAUGAAGAUGUACAAGGAAAUAGAUAAUGGCAAACCAGGACCCAACCCAGGACAACCAAAUGUAGCCCUAGCAUCCGCUUUGCAGGACUGCCCAAUUGGAAAUACAACAGUGCAGCAACUACUUGCAGGAAUGGACACACCCCCACCAUGUAGAAGCAGUAUGCAACGCACAUCCAGC